rnacentral:lncRNA from 1 species
ACUGCCCCAACACCCAACCUGCUCCAUGCAAAUGCACCCCUGGGAUAUGCUGUGCAGGCCGAGGUGCAUGGCAGGGGCCAGGGCGCUGGCGAUGCCAGCGGGUGCCCCUGCAGGCGCUAGCGCCCAGACCAACAUGUGCACUGCCCCAACACCCAACCUGCUCCAUGCAAAUGCACCCCUGGGAUAUGCUGUGCAGGCCGAGGUGCAUGGCAGGGGCCAGGGCGCUGGCGAUGCCAGCGGGUGCCCCUGCAGGCGCUAGCGCGCGCGCAGGUCCACAGACUCUGGCCUCAAGCCGUACUUGCAAAGUUACAGGUUAUGUUUUCAGAAGCGCAAGACCAAACCAAGCUCAGACCGCCCGAUGAGCUGGCGGAGCCGCUGACGGUGGCCCGCGUGGCACACUGGGGCACGAAGUACACUAGCGUGGCACGCUGCUGUGCCGCCAAGUGGCCGGGAUGACCGGUCACCAGUCUCCGAGCUAGUUACGAGUCCUCUAUAUCAUUUAAGGUCGCGGCAUGCUAAGUUCGGUGGGGUAGCAUCGUUUCCUUGCGCCGGACUUGGUGUCGGAGCUCGCGCCGCAGGCGGCUGAUGCAGGAUUUGACUUUUCCGGGUCAUAGCUGUAAGUGCACAUGCAAAUAAUGGCAGAGGGUCGGGCCUUCGUUGGCAGCUGGGCGCGAGAAAAGUCGGGAGGCAUUGCCGUACAAUGCGAGAUCGCG